UACGGAGGGUGCGAGCGUUGUCCGGAAUCACUGGGCGUAAAGCGCACGUAGGCGGAUGUGUCAGUCAGGGGUGAAAUCCCGGAGCUCAACUUCGGAACUGCCUUUGAUACAGCACGUCUUGAGUCCGAUAGAGGUGGGUGGAAUUCCUAGUGUAGAGGUGAAAUUCGUAGAUAUUAGGAAGAACACCGGUGGCGAAGGCGGCCCACUGGAUCGGUACUGACGCUGAGGUGCGAAAGCGUGGGGAGCAAACAGG
rnacentral:rRNA from 1 species